UGGCCAUGUUGGUUAACAGAUCCUCAUUUGCUGGAUAAUUGGCGAUGAUCUUUAUCGGUUGUCGUCAGUUGCCAGAACGUUUACUUUGAGAAAAUUAGAGUGCUAAAAGCAGGCUCACGCCUAUAUAUAUUGCAUGGAAUAAUGAAAUAAGAUCUCGAUUUUAUUUCGUUGGUUUUAGAAAUUGAGAUAAUGAUUAAUAGGAUCAGAGGGGGGCGUACGUACUGUGGUGUGAGAGGUGAAAUUCUUGGAUCGCCACAGGACGAACAGCAGCGAAGGCGUUCGCCAAGAAUGUUUUCAUUAAUCAAGAACGAAAGUUUGAGGUUCGAAGACGAUUAGAUACCGUCCUAGUUCAAACCAUAAACGUUGCCAACUGUCUUUUAGAUGCGGUUAUUUAUAUGACUCAUCUGGCGGAUCUCGAGAAAUCUAAGUUUUUAGGUUCCGGGGGAAGUAUGGUUGCAAAGCUGAAACUUAAAAGAAUUGACGGAAGGACACACAAGAAGUGGAGCCUGUGGCCUAAUUUGACUCAACACGGGAAACCUUACUCGGCCAGGACACUUUUAGGAUUGACAGAUUGAGAGCUCUUUCUUGAUUAGGUGGGUGGUGGUGCAUGGUCGUUCGUAGUUCGUGGAGCGAUUUGUCUGAUUAAUUUCGAUAACGAACGAGACUCCGGCUUACUAAAUAGUCUAAAGUUCGAAGGGACUUUUCAAGACUUCUUAGCAGGAUAAAUGG
rnacentral:rRNA from 1 species